rnacentral:rRNA from 1 species
GAUGAACGCUGGCGGCGUGCCUAAUACAUGCAAGUCGAGCGAACGGACGAGAAGCUUGCUUCUCUGAUGUUAGCGGCGGACGGGUGAGUAACACGUGGAUAACCUACCUAUAAGACUGGGAUAACUUCGGGAAACCGGAGCUAAUACCGGAUAAUAUUUUGAACCGCAUGGUUCAAAAGUGAAAGGCGGUCUUGCUGUCACUUAUAGAUGGAUCCGCGCUGCAUUAGCUAGUUGGUAAAGUAACGGCUUACCAAGGCAACGAUGCAUAGCCGACCUGAGAGGGUGAUCGGCCACACUGGAACUGAGACACGGUCCAGACUCCUACGGGAGGCAGCAGUAGGGAAUCUUCCGCAAUGGGCGAAAGCCUGACGGAGCAACGCCGCGUGAGUGAUGAAGGUCUUCGGAUCGUAAAACUCUGUUAUUAGGGAAGAACAUAUGUGUAAGUAACUGUGCACAUCUUGACGGUACCUAAUCAGAAAGCCACGGCUAACUACGUG